rnacentral:rRNA from 1 species
UGGGGAAUAUUGGACAAUGGGGGAAACCCUGAUCCAGCAAUGCCGCGUGAGUGAAGAAGGCCUUAGGGUUGUAAAGCUCUUUCGCCCGCGAAGAUAAUGACGGUAGCGGGAGAAGAAGCACCGGCUAACUACGUGCCAGCAGCCGCGGUAAUACGUAGGGUGCGAGCGUUAAUCGGAAUUACUGGGCGUAAAGCGUGCGCAGGCGGUUUUGUAAGACAGAUGUGAAAUCCCCGGGCUUAACCUGGGAACUGCGUUUGUGACUGCAAGGCUGGAGUACGGCAGAGGGCGGUGGAAUUCCCCGUGUAGCAAUGAAAUGCGUAGAGAUGUGGAGGAACACCGAUGGCGAAGGCAGCCCCCUGGGCCUGUACUGACGCUCAUGCACGAAAGCGUGGGGAGCAAACA